GAUGAACGCUGGCGGCAGGCCUAACACAUGCAAGUCGAGCGCGACCCCAACUUCGGUUGGUAAGUUGAGCGGCGGACGGGUGAGUAACGCGUGGGAAUAUGCCCUUCACUACGGAAUAGCCUCGGGAAACUGAGAGUAAUACCGUAUACGCCCUUCGGGGGAAAGAGUUUAUCGGUGAAGGAUUAGCCCGCGUUGGAUUAGGUAGUUGGUGGGUAACGGCCUACCAAGCCGACGAUCCAUAGCUGGUUUGAGAGGAUGAUCAGCCACACUGGGACUGAGACACGGCCCAGACUCCUACGGGAGGCAGCAGUGGGGAAUCUUAGACAAUGGGGGCAACCCUGAUCUAGCCAUGCCGCGUGAGUGAUGAAGGCCUUAGGGUUGUAAAGCUCUUUCAGCUGGGAAGAUAAUGACGGUACCAGCAGAAGAAGCCCCGGCUAACUCCGUG
rnacentral:rRNA from 1 species